rnacentral:lncRNA from 1 species
AGCUACAUCCGUCACCUGACACGGCCCUACCAGGAACAGCCGCGCUCCCGCGGAUUCUGGUGCUGCUCGCGUCCCCGCUCCCCUAUUCCCCUUAUUUUAUUCCUGGCUCCCCUCGUCGAAAGUCUUCCAUUCUUCAAACUAGAUUAUUUAAAAAUGAAAAAGGAAGAAAGGAAAGCGAGGUCAUCUCAUUGCUCUAUCCGCCAAUCAGGAGGCUGAAUGUCAGUUUUGAACUAAAAGCCGCUCCGCUCCUCUUCUAGAUUUGGAAAACAAGCGAAAUUAAACUAAACCGCUGCACGCCUCUGACGCGACAUCUGGACACGGCGCGGCGCUGGCGCUGCCGGAGCUGUCGACCCGGCCUGGCGCCGGACUAGUGUCCCUUUUGAUGAGAAGAAUAAGCCUCAUUCUGAUUCAACAGCAGAGAUCAAAGAAAAGACUUCUGUUUUCUGGCCACCAGAUAUAUGUUAUCUGUGCUUAAAGAAUUGAAAAACACACAUCAAAGGAGAAUUUUCUUGGAAAGAGAGGGUUCAAGCAUCACUGUUAGGUGUGCUGGAAUCCUUUCCCGAGUCAGUACUGCUUUCUAGAAGAAAACCGGGGAGAUCUAUUUGGAAUGUAUCUAACUCCAAAGAAACCAUCAGAGGUAACAGUAGAGACGGGGUUUCACCAUGUUGGCCAGACUGGUCUUGAACUCUCGACCUCGUGAUUCGCCCGCCUCGGCCUCCCAAAGUGCUGGGAUUACAGGUGUGAGACACCACACCCGGCGGAUAGAGAGAAUUUUGACAGGUGAUGGAGGCUUUUUAUUUUGCCACAAAACCACUGGUGACGUUGCCUGUGGCCACCUUGGAGAAGACACUGGAGACAGGGUCUCACUCUGUCACCCAGGCUGGAGUGUAUUGGCAUGAUUACAGCUCACUGCAACCUUGAACUCCCAGGCUCAAACCUGAGCAGCUGGGACUACAGAUGCACCACCAUGCAUGGUACCAGAGAUAUAAUAAUGAGAAACAGACAUGCUCCCUCCCCUCAUUGAGGUUACAGCUUAGUGUGGAGACACACAGAUGCCUAACGCACUAUGGUAUGGAAGGUGCUAUGGACACAGUGCUCAAAUCCAUGAUCUACAUAGGUGGAGAACUUCAGUAGAGGAAGUGGCAGGAAUUUGGGAAUGAGGAGCACAGUGAUUAAACUGGGGCCAUUCAUAUGAGAGUUUAAGAACUCAGACCAGUGACUUAGAUUGGCUUCUCUCACAUGGCAAGAAACAUUGCUGCUAGCACUUCCCGAGUUCUACGUUCUACAACAUCCACCACUGUAUCUUACAGACAGCAAGUUGAACAUUGUGGGAUGCAUGAGCUAUUGAGGCCUUUGCAGCUUUCUGCUACAUGGAGGCUAGGGCCAGAGUCAAGAUUUAUGCUUUGCAGCACACUGGUCAGCUGUUUUUGCAAAUCAGAUUAAAUGAUUUUUAAAUGAGGCUGAGAGCAUGGGAGAUACUAAUGUGUGUUUCCUUGUGAGCUACUGCAUAAGUUAGGAAAUUGAAAUACAGAAAGAUGAAAAGUGAUUUGCCCAAGCAUAUAGAUCAAAGCUGUGGCAGAACCAGGACUGGAACCUAUAUCUCUCUACUAAUGGUUUUUUUAAAAAAAUAACCUUGUUUCAAAAAUAUUAAAAAGUCACAAGAAAGGUAAACAUGUGGAUAAACAAAAUGAAGAAAAUAAAAAUUAUCCAGUAAUAACAUA